GAUGCAUAGUGCGCGUAGUUGGGGCGGCCUUCUGACACUGAGGAAGUAUAAGACUCUUGGCCGCCGAGCCUAAAGGAGCUAAAGCCGCAAUAGAGGUAUUCGGCGGCUUCACUGGCUGUGCUCCCGAUACGCUUCUGGACAGCCACUGACUUGAGAUCUCAAACAAUUCCCUUUGAACCACGCAGCCAUUUUUUCUUUUAAUUUACCUCCAAGAAAAUAGAAAAUAGCAGCAGCUAGGAUGAACACCAAAACAACCACCACCACCAUUGUUGGCCUUCCUGUGUCGUCGCAGUGCUUCUCUUUGGGAGUGACAGUAACAGCUUCUGGAUUUCCUCUCUGGUGGUCAGGGCCGAAGAAACACAGUAGUGCCGCAUUGAGCUUCAAUGAACAUUUCCAGCUAUCAAAACCACCACCACUACCCCCUGGACCAGCCACGGACUACCCAGGUUUGAUGCCCCAAAGUCCGCCUCCACCUCAUCCACCACCCAUUGAGCCAGUGGAAGCAGUGGAGAGACACCAGUGCUCAACACCCUCUCCCCAGGUUUAGGUGACCCUAGCCAUGCUAGUGAUGGGAAUGGAGGGGCAUCUAUGAUGGAUGCCAGCAUCAUGACUUCCACAAGCUGUCUGUUCAAGCCAAGCCUACCACCACCACCACUUCCACCAAGGGGGGCCCUGUCGUCCGGCCUCUGCCCAUGCUCGGUGAGGGUUCCCAGGCACAGCUCCGGCCACCGAUGGCCUCCCCUUGAUGUCUCUCUCCAACCCCCUCUACAGAGAGUCUAUGAUGACUUCUCACAACUGUGCCAACACAGCCUCCUCCUCUUCCUCCUCUUCCUCCUCUUCCUCCUCCUUCGCUCCAGUCUUCCCUCCAUCCCUGCCCUGCGCUAACUGUGGCUACAUCCAGGGCUCUACAGCCCCCACUACCUCACGGCUGCCCCAAAGAGGACAGGCUAGUCCGGAGAGACUCUACUACCUCCAUCCCCUCUAUAUAUCCACAAAGAGAGAUCUAAAUUGACAAAUAAAGGUGGCCAACAGGGGGCAGCAGAGGCACACCAUUCCAUAACAACAGCUAUACUUGUAGGAGUGUUUACAUUUUGUGAUGUAACCCCAUAAUUAGGUUGGGGGUUUUUUCCCAAAUGGCACCCUACUCCCUAUAUAGUGCACUACUUCUAACCAGGAACCAUGGGGCUCUUGUCAAAGAUAGUACACUAUAUAGGGAAGGUUCUGACAUAUGUAAUAUUACUGCUACAGUAUAUUGGUGGGGCUUACUAUGUGGUUAUCUGGAUCUGUAGCCAGUGGGUGGGGUUUACUAUGUGGUUAUCUGGAUCUGUAGCCAGUGGGUGGGGCUUACUAUGUGGUUGUCUGGAUCUGUAGCCAGUGGGUGGGGCUUACUAUGUGGUUGUCUGUAUCUGUAGCCAGUGGGUGGGGCUUACUAUGUGGUUGUCUGGAUCUGUAGCCAGUGGGUGGGGCUUACUAUGUGGUUGUCUGGAUCUGUAGCCAGUGGGUGGGGCUUACUAUGUGGUUGUCUGGAUCUUGCAGGCAGUGGGUGGGGCUUACUAUGUGGUUGUCUGGAUUUGUAGCUAGUGGGUGGGGCUUACUAUGUGGUUGUCUGGAUCUGUAGCCAAUGGCUUGUUAUUGGCUACCCAUAUAUUAACAUCUCAUACAGUAAGGCAUAGCAAUAGUAGCAUAGGAAUCCUGUAUAUAUGAUGUAAUAACCUAAUAAUGAAUAUUAUAUUGUCCUGACUGUCCUGAUCAGGUCAGGUUACAGGAGACCACAACACUACAGAUUAUCUCUCAACCCCCAACAGAGGAGGAGAGAUCUAGGGGUCUGAAGAUGUGGGGGUUUUAUGACCCCUCACGCCCAUGAUAGUCUUAGGCCACAGAGAAAUUCCUUUGUCCUCUCACUGUGGAGAACCUGCCUCAGAACAUUAAACAUGCAAUAAAGGGACUUUGGAACAAUGGUUUCCGUCAGCCACAAGGGUGGUUAUGACGAUAGAUGGGAUAUGAAAAUGUGUGUAAUUUUUGUUUUGUUAUUAAAGGUUAAUAGAUGACGUUAUUACGAAAACAUUGUACCUUUAAGAGUUUUCACAGUAUAUGCCUGAUGUUUAUACAUUGUACGUUGUGUGGAAAAUGUCCAAAUCAAAGAGAAUGUUUUGGUAAAGAUGAAAUGUGAAGUUAGUUGUCUAAAAUUGGAUUUGGGUAAAAUCUAGACCUCCAGCCUCUUAACUUGGUCCGCCCAGAGAAUUGCCCUAAAGGCGGUUACGCCCACUUCUGACCCGAGGGUAUUAGACAUGGGAGUUAAGAAUUAACAUACAGACUAAGUGACCCAAGCUGCAGCAGAGGUCUAAAAAGUCAACGAACCCCAAAACGCAACACAAGGAAGAAGACAAAUAAAUAUUCUUCUACCCAUGCUAUGGAUGAGUAGCUGUGUCUAAGCGGGUGAACUCAAGCCGGAACACCUGGCCUACACACCUGGCCUACUGGUAUCUACGCUGUUUCAUUCCUACGUUGUGAGCUCUGAGCUACAGACCUGGCUGUCCUCAGACGACCCCUUUCAGAGCCAGGGCGAGGAAUCAGACCACUAAGCCAAAAGGACACUGACAUCGUGAGGACAACCAGAGAGUUGCGCCGGAGAAGUGCGUCAUUGAGAAGCCUAAACGACCCACGCGGAGCUUCCCAUCUGAGACCUCCAACACGUAAUUACAUCAUUAUAUUCUGACCCAUAAGAGCGGCAGUUCGGGGCAAGGCUAGGGUUAAAAUAAGCAUAGCUGACAAAUGCACCCAAAUGUAUAUUUCUCUUGUGUACUUUCUCUUGUUCUCUCUCUUUUAAAUCCCGUUUUGGGUAACACGCGCCAUAGUGUGUUGGCCCGUUAUACUAAGUCCUAAUCAAUAGCCUAG
rnacentral:lncRNA from 1 species